rnacentral:rRNA from 1 species
GAUGAACGCUGGCGGCGUGCCUAAUACAUGCAAGUCGAGCGAACGGACGAGAAGCUUGCUUCUCUGAUGUUAGCGGCGGACGGGUGAGUAACACGUGGAUAACCUAACUAUAAGACUGGGAUAACUUCGGGAAACCGUAGCUAAUACCGGAUAAUAUUUUGAACCGCAUGGUUCAAAAGUGAAAGACGGUCUUGCUGUCACUUAUAGAUGGAUCCGCGCUGCAUUAGCUAGUUGGUAAGGUAACGGCUUACCAAGGCAACGAUGCAUAGCCGACCUGAGAGGGACGUUCGACACACUGGCACUGAGACACGGCACAGACACCUACAGGAGGACACAGUAGAGAAUCUUACGCGAGGGGGGAAAGGCUAACAGAGCAACGCCGCCGAAGUGAUGAAGGUGUACGGACCGGAAAACUCUGAUAUUAGUGAAGAAGAAAAGCGUAAGUAACUGGGAAGAUAUUGACGGUACCUAAUGAGUAAGCCACGGCUAACUACGUG